rnacentral:lncRNA from 1 species
GAGAAUUCCUGUGGGAAUCUCCUCACAGAGGAGCCUCACAGCCAGCACCUGCACACAAACACCCAGUCCACGGCUUGGCUAAAACAUUUGACCCUUUAUUCCUAAACACGACAGAAAUUUAAGAGUGAGGGGAGAGCAAGAGAGCCGAGUACCGGCGGCUGCCAGGAGCAAGGCCCCACAGGCCCCCACCUCCCCAUCCUGUGCUGAAACUGUUCAGACACUGCAGAGGAAAGACAGAUAAAAGGACUUGUACAGAGGAGUAAAUGUAUAUGUCCCUGAAAUGAGCUGCAGUAUUGGGUGAUC